rnacentral:rRNA from 1 species
GAUGAACGCUGGCGGCGUGCUUAACACAUGCAAGUCGAACGAAGCACUUUAUUUGAUUUCCUUCGGGACUGAUUAUUUUGUGACUGAGUGGCGGACGGGUGAGUAACGCGUGGGUAACCUGCCUUGUACAGGGGGAUAACAGUUGGAAACGGCUGCUAAUACCGCAUAAGCGCACAGCAUCGCAUGAUGCAGUGUGAAAAACUCCGGUGGUAUAAGAUGGACCCGCGUUGGAUUAGCUAGUUGGUGAGGUAACGGCCCACCAAGGCGACGAUCCAUAGCCGACCUGAAGGGGGGACCGCCAAAGUUGGGACUGGGACAAGGCCCAAAACCCUACGGGGGGCAGCAGUGGGGAAUAUUGCACAAUGGGGGAAAGCCUGAUGCAGGGACGCCGGGUGAGAGAAGAAGUAUUUCGGUAUGUAAAGCUCUAUCAGAAGGGAAGAUAAUGACGGUACCUGACUAAGAAGCACCGGCUAAAUACGU